CAAUAAACGCGAGUCUCACUAGCUGGUCAGGGCCACAGUCACAGCUGUUUACAGGACUCUGCUGGAGUCUGUAAGUGGCUUGGACACUCAGCUGGACUGGCAAAGCAGAAUAUCUGUGUGUCAGUGUACUUCAUUCAUCCGUCGCUGGGUCAGGGUCUGGGGGUCAGACCCCUGCAGCUGGUGCCCCUGUGUGAGGAACGCUACCACACAUCCUGGCCUGGGCUGGGGAGUCCAUCCAAUGGAAUAUAUUUAAGGUAUGAAAAGGGCCUCGUUCAGUUCCUGGAGCAAGGGAGCCACCCGAUAAUGCCUUCCCUUGCACCCCAGAUGAAGCCAAGCACAGUGAGAGAAGCAUCUCCAGAUCUCUAUCUGGUGGAGCUGCUGGACUUCCCUCGGGGCAGGAACAUGAAAUCUGAGGGAAGAUACUUUUGGAACCUUGAAUCUGAAAGGAACUCAAUGUUUUGCAUCCUUGGGAUUGCCAGAGAUUGGCAGAGGAGAGUCAAACAAGGACACAGAGAUGGAGCAGCCUUGAUGUAAGUGGGAAAAGAACACACUGAAUGUGCUGACCGAAAAGCCAAGAGAAGAAGCAUUCAUGGAGGAUGGAGGGAGUGGACAACUGCGUCAAAUGCUGCUAAAAGACCAAAUGACAUAAGAACAAGGAAGAGAACCUACGGAUUUCUAGGGAGCCAUGAGAUGAAAACAUGAUUGGAUUGGGUUGAGAAUUAAAGGAUGGCUGAGAAAUUGGGGACAAUGGCACUUUUUAUGUCUUACUAGGACAGGAUAAAUACAAAUAGGGCAGUAACUAGAGGGCCACCAAAGGUGUUUUUCUUUUUCUUUUUUUGAGAUAACAGACGAUGAAACAUGUCUAUAUACUAAUGUGAAUGAUGCACAAAAGAGGGAGAAAUUGAUGGAGCAGAGAGAAGGGAAGUGAUGGUGGGAGUAAAGUUCUUGAGAAGGGGGAGCUAGUGGUGAGAUAUCUGGCAUUCGUAGGAUCUCGGGGACUUUAUUCACUAUAACAAGAUAACCAGUAAGGAGGGUGGAGACAGAUGCAGAUACGUGGGUGGAUUUGGUGAUGGGAGAAGUAGAUUUGUAUUUAUUGGUUUCCAUCCUGAACAAAGAUAAAGAAUUUCCCAGAAAUGGAAAAGUCUUAUAUAUUUUUUACCUUGCCCCAGAUUUCAAAGUUUUGACCUUGGGAUACAAGCACAGAAUUCUGCGAAAGGAGAGUGGAAUUUGUCUCUGAUCGGAGAAUACUCUAAUUGUUCAGAUACUGCACUGCUCCGAUGAACAACUUCUUUGGAAUAGAAGGCAAUCUGGACACAAAGGGACACUGGGGUACAUAUGUACAGAAAAAAGACCAUGUGAAGACACAGUGAGAAAGUGGUCAUUUGCAAGCAAAGAAGAGGUCUCAGAAGAAUGCAAACCUGCUGACACCUUGAUCUCAGAAUUCUAGCCUCCAGAAUGAUGAGGACAUUGAGGCGCAGAGAAAUUAAGUGACCUUCCUCAGAGUCACAUAUGACAGCUAAAUGGUUACAAAGUCCAUAGUAACUAUAGGAUCCCUGUGAUGUUGUGAAAUAUCUAUUUGGUCUUCAUCCCAGUCUCCUAGCGCACAACUCCUAAAAUCCCUGGACUCUUCAAAGUGGUAAGUGUCUUUCUGAACACUGAUGACUUGACUGUUGGCUGGAAGCCCUUAGGUAGCUUCAAGAUGGGAGCUGGUCACCCAAAAGACAAAGGUAGGAUCAGAGGGUUGGGACUUUCAGCCCAUUCCCCAGUCUCCAAGGAGAAAAGAGGUUGAGUUUAUUGGUUUCAUCAAUUGGGCCCAUGUAAUGUAGCCUCCAUAAAGCCUCCCAAAGACAGUGUUUGGGGAGCUUCGGGAUAGCUGAAGACGAGGUUCCUGGAGGGUGGUGCACCUGGGGAAGGGAUGGUAACUCCAUGCCCCUUCCCAUAUGCCUUGCAUCUCUUCGUCUGUAUCCUUUUGUUUAUAUCCGUCAUAAUAAGCCAGUAAGGGUAAGUUUCUCUGAGGUCUGUGAGCUGCUCUAAGAAAUUAAUUGAACCCAAAGAAGGGGUUGUGGGAACUCUUAUUUAUAGUCAGUCAGAAGCACAGGUAAACCAACCUGUGGGCUUGUGAAUUGCAUCAGAAGUGUGGUGUAGGAGCUUGUGAAUUGCAUCAGAAGUGUGGUGUAGUGGGUAGUCUUGGGGACUGAGCCCUCAACCCGUGGGAUCUGAU
rnacentral:lncRNA from 1 species